AGGUUCUGGGUGUGGGGAUCAGGACUGGGAGGGGGACAGGACAGCCAGGGGAGGGGUGAAGCCAUGUAGGUGAUCAAGUAGAGCUGCCACUUUCCUUCCUGUCUCUUUUUCUUUUGGCAAAAGAUAUUCAUUCAUCCAAAAUGAAUGCCUUUGGGUAGGGAGGGCAGUGUUGGAGGCAGUUCUGUCUGACAGGCAAGGUAUGGUAAGGAAGGGAGGGGCUGAGAAAUGGGACCCCUGUGUAUGGGUGGCGGCGAUGGGUGGGCACGACCUACCAUCCACGGUGACUUGGCAGGAGCACUCCGCCUGGCCAGCGUCAUUCUUGGCUACACACUUGUAUAAGCCUCUGUCCUCAGGCAGUGCCUUCUCGAUGGAGACGGAGCAGAGUGAGCCUGGGGAGGAAGAAUUGUGGAGUGAACCAGGUGUGGUCGUAGUACCUGCCCUGGCAUCUGGAGCGCAGCAGUAGAACACAGCCCAGAUGCAAACAUCAGGAGCAGACACUGCCCAGAUGGCGGCUUUACCCCAGCUGGACUCCUCUGAGGCUUUGGUGGUGGACAGCCCUGUGCCGCAAGCUGGAGUAAGCCGAUUCUCCCCAUGGGGGAAGCAGGUGGGGAAAAAGCCAAGGCCAGGGCAGUGGCCUCCGAAAGGAAUGAAGAGGCUGGACUUUGGGGAAGAAAAAGAGGCAAAGGCUGCAGGCUGGAGGCUCCAGUGUGGUUUCCCAGGUCCUUCCAGUUCCCUGUGCACUUGGGAGAAACUCCCCAAGCAGAGCCAUAAGGAAUGGAAGAGCAUCUGAUUUAAGUCAAAAGAUGAGGGCUUGAACUUGGGCUCUGUUACUUGCCUUUGGAUGGCCACAAGCAAGUCCACGACCCUGAGACCUCAGUGUCCCCCGUUAUUAAAUGACGAUGAGGCUGGAUAACUUCUGAAGCCCCUUCCUGCUGGGACAGUCUAAAUUUUAUGACUGUCCCCAGCUGGCCCCAGACAGUCUGCCUGCCGACCUCCUGGUGCACGCCUCCUCUCUGGCCUGGCAAACUUCCCACAGCCCUUUGCUUGGCUCUGCCCCCACCCCACCCUUUCUUGCUCGGCCUACUCAACAGCUAAGCCUUAUCACAUUUGCCAAGAUUCAGCCUUCCUUUUCCAUCAAAAUCCCCAAACAAGCUCAUCUCCUCUAGGAUGUCUGGCUUGAGUAAUGUAAGUAUUAUCUCAAAGUGCUACUCCUUCUAUACUGACGAGAUCAUCAGCAGGUAUUUUUACACAUCAUCGGUUUCCAUUCUUUGUACUGACCUAGGGGGUAAGCGUGUACCUUCUCCCCAUUUUGGA
rnacentral:lncRNA from 10 species